rnacentral:rRNA from 1 species
ACCCGCUGAACUUAAGCAUAUCAAUAAGCGGAGGAAAAGAAACCAACAGGGAUUGCCCUAGUAACGGCGAGUGAAGCGGCAACAGCUCAAAUUUGAAAUCUGGCGCGAGCCCGAGUUGUAAUUUGUAGAGGAUGCUUCUGGGCAGCGGCCGGUCUAAGUUCCUUGGAACAGGACGUCACAGAGGGUGAGAAUCCCGUAUGUGAUCGGUUGGCACCCGCUACGUAGCUCCUUCGACGAGUCGAGUUGUUUGGGAAUGCAGCUCUAAAUGGGAGGUAAAUGCCUUCUAAAGCUAAAUACCGGCCAGAGACCGAUAGCGCACAAGUAGAGUGAUCGAAAGAUGAAAAGCACUUUGGAAAGAGAGUUAAAAAGCACGUGAAAUUGUUGAAAGGGAAGCGCAUGCAACCAGACUUGUCCGCGGUGUUCCGCCGGUCUUCUGACCGGUCUACUCGCCGCGGGCAGGCCAGCAUCAUCUGGGAGCGCCGGAUAAAGGUAGCGGGAAUGUGGCCCCUCGGGGUGUUAUAGCUCGCUACACAAUACGGCGCCUCCCGGGUGAGGUCCGCGCUUCGGCUAGGAUGCUGGCGUAAUGGUUGUAUGCGGCCCGUCUUGAAACACGGACCAAGGAGUCUACCAUCUAUGCGAGUGUUCGGGUGUCAAACCCCUACGCGCAAUGAAAGUGAACGGAGGUGGGAACCGCAAGGUGCACCAUCGACCGAUCCUGAUGUCUUCGGAUGGAUUUGAGUAAGAGCAUAGCUGGUGGGACCCGAAAGAUGGUGAACUAUGCCUGAAUAGGGUGAAGCCAGAGGAAACUCUGGUGGAGGCUCGCAGCGGUUCUGACGUGCAAAUCGAUCGUCAAAUUUGGGUAUAGGGGCGAAAGACUAAUCGAACCAUCUAGUAGCUGGUUCCUGCCGAAGUUUCCCUCAGG